rnacentral:rRNA from 1 species
GAUGAACGCUGGCGGCGUGCCUAAUACAUGCAAGUCGAGCGAACGGACGAGAAGCUUGCUUUUCUGAUGUUAGCGGCGGACGGGUGAGUAACACGUGGAUAACCUACCUAUAAGACUGGGAUAACUUCGGGAAACCGGAGCUAAUACCGGAUAAUAUUUUGAACCGCAUGGUUCAAAAGUGAAAGACGGUCUUGCUGUCACUUAUAGAUGGAUCCGCGCUGCAUUAGCUAGUUGGUAAGGUAACGGCUUACCAAGGCAACGAUGCAUAGCCGACCUGAGAGGGUGGUCGGCCACACUGGAGCUGAGACGCGGUCCAGACGCCUACGGGAGGCAGCAGUAGGGAAUCUUCCGCAGUGGGCGAAAGCCUGACGGAGCAACGGCGCGUGAGUGAUGGAGGUCUUCGGAUCGUAAAACUCUGUUAUGAGUGAUGAACAUAUGUGUAAGUAAAUGUGCACAUCUUGACGGUACCUAAUCAGAAAGCCACGGCUAACUACGUG